CUGUGCAGUUUUACAGUGGCCGUAAAGGCUGGUCCUUUAUGGAGGAAAGUCCGGACAGCAGAGUGCAGGGUGCCUGGUGAAAGCCAGGGGAUUUAAUUAACCUUUUGGGGUUAAUUGGGUGACAGUUAGAGCAACAGAAACGACUCGGGUGGCGCCGAAUGAAACGACCAAGCGACUGGGUAGUCCCGAUUUAUCGGGAUUGGCAAUCCUCCCCGCUGCAACCGCCGAUCUUCACCUUAAUGUCGGCACUAACUAUCAUGGUGAUAAUGUCGCGGGCAUAGAUAGAUCACUGUUAACCAAACAGAAUCCGGCUUACAAACUGCACAGCUUU
rnacentral:RNase_P_RNA from 1 species